CCUACGGGUGGCAGCAGUAGGGAAUAUUGCUCAAUGGGGGAAACCCUGAAGCAGCAACGCCGCGUGGAGGAUGAAGGUUUUCGGAUUGUAAACUCCUUUUGUUAGGGAAGAUAAUGACGGUAUCUAACGAAUAAGCACCGGCUAACUCCGUGCCAGCAGCCGCGGUAAUACGGAGGGUGCAAGCGUUACUCGGAAUCAAUGGGCGUAAAGAGCGCGUUGGCGGGAAAGCAAGUCAGAUGUGAAAUCCUAUGGCUUAACCAUAGCACUGCAUUUGAAACUGUUAUUCUAGAGUAUGGGAGAGGUAGGUGGAAUGCGUGGUGUAGGGGUGAAAUGCGUAGAGAUCAAGAGGAACACUGAUUGCGAAGGCGACCUGCUAGAACAUAACUGACGCUGAUGCGCGAAAGCGUGGGGAGCAAACAGGAUUAGAUACCCGUGUAGUC
rnacentral:rRNA from 1 species